AACUAUUUUAUUUAAACAAAUAUUAUCUAUUACUCAAAUGUUAAUUCAAAGAAAAGUGCAAAGAAAUUUAUGUUUGUUCGUGAGAGGGGAAAGCUGUGAGAUGAAAAGGGGGAAAAAACAUGUCACCCCCUUUCACCGCAAGCAAGGUAAAUAUCGUCUUUUUAGGCCUACAAAAGAGGAAAACUCAGACUUUUGAACGAGCCAAAGAAGUCGAAAGGCCAAAAAGUUGACUUUCCCAACGAAAUCACUCAAAUUUAAUUAUUAUUUUCGUACUGGCGAGAGACGAUAAUAAAAUCGACGACUAAUCGAUUUCGACUAAUCCAA